ACGGCUCAGUAACACGUGGACAACCUACCCUGAAGAGGGGGAUAACCCCGGGAAACUGGGGAUAAUACCCCAUAGGCUAUGGAUGCUGGAAUGCUCUGUAGUUGAAAGGUCCGCCGCUUCAGGAUGGGUCUGCGGCCGAUUAGGUUGUUGUUGGGGUAACGGCCCAACAAGCCUGUAAUCGGUACGGGUUGUGGGAGCAAGAGCCCGGAGAUGGAUUCUGAGACACGAAUCCAGGCCCUACGGGGCGCAGCAGGCGCGAAAACUUUGCAAUGCGAGCAAUCGUGACAAGGGAACUCCGAGUGCCUGUAAAAUCAGGCUGUCCGCCAGUGUAAAUAACUGGCGAAGAAAGGGCCGGGCAAGACCGGUGCCAGCCGCCGCGGUAAUACCGGCGGCUCGAGUGGUGGCCACUAUUACUGGGCUUAAAGCGUUCGUAGCUGGCUUGUUAAGUCUCUGGGGAAAUCUUCCGGCUUAACCGGAAGGCGUCUCAGGGAUACUGGCAGGCUAGGGACCGGAAGAGGUGAGAGGUACUCCAGGGGUAGGAGUGAAAUCCUGUAAUCCUUGGGGGACCACCUGUGGCGAAGGCGUCUCACCAGAACGGCUCCGACAGUGAGGAACGAAAGCUGGGGGAGCAAACCGGAUUAGAUACCCGGGUAGUCCCAGCUGUAAACGAUGCGCGUUAGGUGUAUCGGUGACCACGAGUCACCGAGGUGCCGAAGAGAAAUCGUGAAACGUGCCGCCUGGGAAGUACGGUCGCAAGGCUGAAACUUAAAGGAAUUGGCGGGGGAGCAC
rnacentral:rRNA from 1 species